GGACAUGGUGGUUUAAUGGUUAGCACGUUUGCCUCGCACCUUCAGGAUUGGUGGUUUGAUUCCUGCCCUGUCCU